GAUGAACGCUGGCGGCGUGCCUAAUACAUGCAAGUCGAGCGAACGGACGAGAAGCUUGCUUCUCUGAUGUUAGCGGCGGACGGGUGAGUAACACGUGGAUAACCUACCUAUAAGACUGGGAUAACUUCGGGAAACCGGAGCUAAUACCGGAUAAUAUUUUGAACCGCAUGGUUCAAAAGUGAAAGACGGUCUUGCUGUCACUGAUAGAUGGAUCCGCGCUGCAUUAGCUAGUUGGUAAGGUAACGGCUUACCAAGGCAACGAUGCAUAGCCGACCUGAGAGGGUGAUCGGCCACACUGGAACUGAGACACGGCCCAGACUCCUACGGGAGGCAGCAGUAGGGAAUCUUCCGCAAUGGGCGAAAGCCUGAUGGAGCAACGCCGCGUGAGUGAUGAAGGUCUUCGGAUCGUAAAACUCUGUUAUUAGGGAAGAACAUAUGUGUAAGUAACUGUGCACAUCUUGACGGUACCUAAUCAGAAAGCCACGGCUAACUACGUG
rnacentral:rRNA from 1 species